CAGCACCAGGCACCUCCAUCCCUGCUUCCCAACUGGUAACCCUGUUACCUCUGAAUACAUUAAAGUUGAGGGUUUCAUAAUUUUGCUUCAUCAGCUUUAAUGACUUGCUUCAUCUCAGCUUUAAUGACCUUGCAGCUGGGGCCAUCCUGAGAACAAGGCUUGCUUCCUGACUUUAAUCACCACAGCUGAAGGGGCUCUGUCAGAAGAGCGUUUCCAUACUGGAAAGGCACAACCUCUGCAGAAUGGGAGGAGAAGGGCAAGCAUGACUCUUCAGAAAUACACUGAGGUCCUUUACAUUCAUGGAGAGCUCAGAAGAUCUCAGAGCCUGUUGCAUUAAGGUCGGUACAAAUGCACAAAGAGGUCUGAAAGCUUAAAGGUGAUGCUGAAGAGAAAAGAUUAUUUCUCCCUACUUUGUAUCCCCACCCCCGAAAGUACUACGAAGUCCUGUUUUGGAAUUUAAGAUGUUUCAUUGAAGUCUUCAGGGAUAUGCACCAUGAAUAUUCUUAAUCCAUCUGCAACUGGCAUUUGCAUGGGUGCGUUUUCCGUCUGCUACAAUUAAAAAGAGAGCAACUGGUUAUUGUAAAUAACCUUAAUCCCACCACAGCAUUGUGUUUGCCUCAAGUGUCUUUGUGGCAACUCCACCAGAUCUCCAGCUGUCUGUGUUCGGGAAGAUCAGAGCAGGACUGAAGGUGUAAACAAACAGAAAGCAGAAGUUUUAUAGAGCAUCUUGGGCGUGGGAUACUUUUGUGAUUUGAAAGGCCUCGUGUUGGACUUUUGUGAGAUUCAGACUCAAUCUGUCUAGAUCCAAACUCACUCUUCCAAGGAAUUUUGCACAGUCCAAGCUUAGUUGAUAAAUACUCACUUGGGCACAUGGGGAUUUCCCAUGCCAUUUCUGCUCCAGGAGGCAUCUAGAGCAGCAUCCCAUCUCAGGCAAAAAACUGAACCAGAUAAUAGAAAAAAAAAAAAGUCUUGAAUAAUUAUAUCUAGCUCCCCAGAGAGACAAGGAGUUUCUUCCUAACCUUUUUGUGAUUAACAGCAUUGCCUGGUCUGUAAAGGCCAUAUACAUUAUGGAAGAAAGAGCCAGAGCAAAGGUAAAGAGUCAAACCAAGAAUUAUCAGGUAUGAUACAUGGGUCUGAAGGAAACAGAUCUAGGGAGAGAAAUGACAGGGGAAAAAAAAUGAAAUGAGGAAGAAGAAGAGGAAAAUCGAGGAAGAGAAAGGAGUUGAAGAAAUGCCAGGUUACCUUACAGCAGGGGCUGAGGGCUGCCUGGUCUAUCUAGGUAUUACACCCUGAAAAUGGAUGGCAGAGUAGGCAGGAGAGCAUACAACAGAGCAGGAAAUAGGUGGGAGAGGUUGCUGAAGGAACAGUGGUAUGUUUGCAGCAGCACACAGGUAUGUUUGGGUGGCAAAGAACAAUGAGUGAGCAGAAGAAGGAGUGACAAACUGGGGGAAGGCAGUUACUUCUCAUCUCAUUUCACCCAUCAUAUGUUACAUUGUGAAAGGAUGACAAACUGGGACAGUGGAAUUAUUUUAUUUAUUUUGCCCAGUAGUACAAGGUGUUAUCUCACCUCUGGGGCCCAACACAUGAAAUACAUGACAAAGCAUGCAUUACAAUAAAAAUACUGAUGCAGAGGGAAGAUGCUUCUUUUCGCAAACAGUAUUAUGGCCCUUAAUCCACGUAGGAGACAAAAAGUCUCUGUUUUCUGUCAGAGGUCUUUUUAGUAAAACACGUUAAUGCUGGAUCAAAGUAGUUGAAAUGUGAUGCAACUGUUUUUAAAACAGCCACGAGAAAGGCGCCUCAGACAACAUGCAAUGGAGACCAUCAGACUUUGCCUCCAGAAGGUAUCACAGCUACUGGAAGGAAUUACCCCGGACUGCUUUCUCCAUUUCACAGAUAAAUACAGAGCUCAUCUCAGAUUAGUAACAAAAAUAAACACCUUUUGAAAAUAUCAACUAAAACAAUAGCACUGCUGCCCAGGCAGAAAAUAGGCAAACCAUAGCUCUAAACCACCAAAAACAAACCCUGAUGCAUGCACGAGACUUGACAUGACACUAACCAGAGCAGACUUAUUUUCUUGGGGGUUAGGUUUGAAUUCCAUUUUGUUAUAAGAGAUUAGGGCUGAAGAAUGUGAAAUCUUUCAUGGCAUCCUGGCUAUCAGACACCAGUGGCCCCUAGGUGCAUAUGUGCUUCUUGUCAGCCCUGGCUCCUUUGACAAGGCUUGGGCCAUCACUCUAAGCAUGAGGAAGGCAAGAUAAACAGUUCUCUUCCAUUCAGAAUUUGUAAUAAUUAGAACAAGGUCCCCAUUCUAAUUCCUGUGUGUGCAUAGAAGAAACAAAAUAGGUAGGAUAUUAGAUCUGAAGAUAAAAAAAAAUUAAACCAAACUUUGCAUGAUCAUUCUUUUGUUUGCAUAUCAUAGUGGUAGCACAGAGGAAGACAGCCCUGGAAAAUUUUGACUUUGGUUGUAAAUGAAGUGGAGCACUCAAGGUUGGCGCAUGUUAACGUGACCAAAACAGCUCAUAAGCAGAGUAUAACACAGCCCCACAUGCUGGAUCCUUAGCAAGAUGGUUGUUGUCUUUGUAAACUGCACAUGGAAAAGUGCAGGCUGUAGACAUUCUGGCUCAAGCCAGAAGAGACCUCAUCGAGAGAGCAGUGCUAACUGAAAAUGUACAACUAGAGGGUUUGUUUUGUUUAUUUAAUUGCAUAUGAUUGGCAAACUUUAUUUUGGAAUAUAGAAUACUGCUCACAAGAGCAAAGAUGUGCCCAUUUCAGACAAUGGUUUGCAAAUGACAGGGAAGAUGUUCCAGUGAGUAUGACAUCAAGCCACAUGUGUGGAAGACAUCAGAAGAGCACGGAUGAAGCAACUGUCCAAAAAUGUGCUUUUCAACACACUCACACGUGCACACAUCUAAUUCUCAUGCGCACAAGAAAAGAAUCAAAGUGAUGGAGCAAAAGCAUUCAAUUGCUUCUCUGCCUCAAACUCCUUGUUAUGACCUUGGGUAAGUAGGCCCAGACUUGCCACAAACUAACUGCCUUGAAGCAUGAUGGCCCUAAUCUCUGAACCUACGCACGCUGUCUGCAAAAUGACCUAAUCUCUUCGCUCCCACCUUUGGACAGGUUGGCUUAUGCAAAGUCUAAGGUACUUAUCUGAGGGGCAAAAUUUGACCCUGGUCACAGUAUUGAAGUAUAAAAUACACUUCUUAAAAAUGCAAAAUAUUCCUGUUAUGUAUAAAAAUAUAUAUCUCACCCAAUAAAAUACAUAACUGCAGCUUCCUACUUAUUCUUGAUGCAGUUUUCUUUCGGGAGUGCUGCAGACUGCAGUGAUAGAUUCUUUAUCUCUUUAUUGUAAUGGCGUCAUCCACAGCAAGUCACAGCAAGGUUAGGUACCCUCCAAGGUCUUCUCCUUGCAACAUGGAGCAUCCUGCAGCCUGCAAAACCUACCUGCAAAGCAGGCAGAAUUAACACACUUGUGCAGCUGCUUUGUGCUGGCACCUGUGGAAGAGCUGAUUUUACAUGGUUCACCUUAGCAUCAAUUUUAAGAAAUGCACAGAGUGAAAGGGAUGGAGGAAAUCUGUGGAAGGUUUGCAGUGCACAGGGAAGCAAAGCAGCCCUCACGCUGCUCUGCUCACGGCGAUCCUUGGAGCUUGUGCCAAAGCAAACUCAGUGUGGAGACCCAGUACACGUGCCCCUGCUGUGGCAUCUCCCCCAGCUGUGUUUUCUUUGGCUCGAGCUCCUGCUGAGCCAUGGGCACGCUGGGGUGACAGAUGCAUUAACACGGAUGUAGCUGGGUGGAAGUCCCAGGCUUCCAAGCCCUUUUGGCUGGGCACAGGGAGGCUUGAGAGAAAGUAGGGGACUGCCACAGGCUUUGAAAUCUGCCUCUCCUCACUCUUCUGUGGUGCUAAGAGCCCCUGCCCUCCUUGGAAAUGCUGGGACACACAUACAUGCACCCCAACCCUCACCUCUAAGCCUACCGGCAGAGGAUGUUUCCACUUGCAUGUUGUUCAUCAGCGGGCAAAUGGAGCUUACCCAAACCCU